rnacentral:misc_RNA from 1 species
GAUGAAGAACGCAGCGAAAUGCGAUAAGUAAUGUGAAUUGCAGAAUUCAGUGAAUCAUCGAAUCUUUGAACGCACAUUGCGCCCGCCAGUAUUCUGGCGGGCAUGCCUGUUCGAGCGUCAUUACAACCCUCAGGCCCCCGGGCCUGGCGUUGGGGAUCGGCGGAGCCCCCCGUGGGCACACGCCGUCCCCCAAAUGCAGUGGCGGUCCCGCCGCAGCUUCCAUCGCGUAGUAGCUAACACCUCGCGACUGGAGAGCGGCGCGGCCACGCCGUAAAACACCCAACUCUUCUGAAGUUGGCCUCGAAUCAGGUAGGAAUACCCGCUGAACUUAAGCAUAUCAAUAAGGGAGGA